AAAGUAUUUCAUCCGUUAGAAAAUACUUGUCAUAAAAAUGAAUAAAUGAAUGUAUCUAGAUGUAUUAUAAAUUUAUAUACAUUUAUUUUUAUAAAAUUAUAUGACAAGUAAUUCCGGACGGAAAGAGUAGCAU
rnacentral:pre_miRNA from 2 species